rnacentral:rRNA from 1 species
GUGGGGAAUAUUGGACAAUGGGCGAAAGCCUGAUCCAGCCAUGCCGCGUGUGUGAAGAAGGUCUUCGGAUUGUAAAGCACUUUAAGUUGGGAGGAAGGGCAGUAAGUUAAUACCUUGCUGUUUUGACGUUACCGACAGAAUAAGCACCGGCUAACUUCGUGCCAGCAGCCGCGGUAAUACGAAGGGUGCAAGCGUUAAUCGGAAUUACUGGGCGUAAAGCGCGCGUAGGUGGUUUUGUAAGUUGGAGGUGGAAUCCCCGGGCUCAACCUAGGAACUGCCUCCAAAACUGCAUGAAUAGAGUACGGUAGAGGGUAGUGGAAUUUCCUGUGUAGCGGUGAAAUGCGUAGAUAUAGGAAGGAACACCAGUGGCGAAGGCGACUACCUGGACUGAUACUGACACUGAGGUGCGAAAGCGUGGGGAGCAAACAGGAUUAGAAACCCCUGUAGUCC